UCCAGGGUUCAAGUCCCUGUUCGGGCG
rnacentral:piRNA from 10 species